rnacentral:rRNA from 1 species
UAGGGAAUCUUCGGCAAUGGGGGGAACCCUGACCGAGCAACGCCGCGUGAGUGAAGAAGGUUUUCGGAUCGUAAAGCUCUGUUGUUAAGGAAGAACGAGUGUGAGAAUGGAAAGUUCAUACUGUGACGGUACUUAACCAGAAAGGGACGGCUAACUACGUGCCAGCAGCCGCGGUAAUACGUAGGUCCCGAGCGUUGUCCGGAUUUAUUGGGCGUAAAGCGAGCGCAGGCGGUCAAUUAAGUCUGAUGUGAAAGCCCCCGGCUCAACCGGGGAGGGUCAUUGGAAACUGGUUGACUUGAGUGCAGAAGAGGAGAGUGGAAUUCCAUGUGUAGCGGUGAAAUGCGUAGAUAUAUGGAGGAACACCAGUGGCGAAGGCGACUCUCUGGUCUGUAACUGACGCGGAGGCUCGAAAGCGUGGGUAGCAAACAGG